rnacentral:rRNA from 1 species
UCUAGAUAGAAAAUAGGUGCCCGUACCGCAAACCGACACAGGUAGUCAAGAUGAGAAUUCUAAGGUGAGCGAGCGAACUCUCGUUAAGGAACUCGGCAAAAUGACCCCGUAACUUCGGGAGAAGGGGUGCUCUUUAGGGUUAACGCCCAGAAGAGCCGCAGUGAAUAGGCCCAAGCGACUGUUUAUCAAAAACACAGGUCUCUGCUAAACCGUAAGGUGAUGUAUAGGGGCUGACGCCUGCCCGGUGCUGGAAGG